rnacentral:rRNA from 1 species
CCUACGGGUGGCUGCAGUGGGGAAUAUUGGACAAUAGGCGAAAGCCUGAUCCAGCCAUGCCGCGGGUGUGAAGAAGGCCUUCGGGUUGUAAAGCACUUUCAGUGGGGAAGAAAGCCUUGGGGCUAAUACCCUCGAGGAAGGACAUCACCCACAGAAGAAGCACCGGCUAACUCCGUGCCAGCAGCCGCGGUAAUACGGAGGGUGCGAGCGUUAAUCGGAAUUACUGGGCGUAAAGCGCGCGUAGGCGGUCUGAUAAGCCGGUUGGGAAAGCCCCGGGCUCAACCUGGGAACGGCAUCCGGAACUGUCAGGCUAGAGUGCAGGAGAGGAAAGUAGAAUACCCGGUGUAGCGGUGAAAUGCGUAGAGAUCGGGAGGAAUACCAGUGGCGAAGGCAGCCUACUGCACUGGGACUGACGCUGAGGGGCGAAAGCGUGGGUAGCAAACAGGAUUAGAUACCCCAGUAGUC